CCUACGGGUGGCUGCAGUGAGGAAUAUUGGUCAAUGGACGCGAGUCUGAACCAGCCAAGUAGCGUGAAGGAUGACUGCCCUAUGGGUUGUAAACUUCUUUUAUAUGGGAAUAAAGUGUUCCACGUGUGCCUUUUUGUAUGUACCUUAUGAAUAAGGAUCGGCUAACUCCGUGCCAGCAGCCGCGGUAAUACGGAGGAUCCGAGCGUUAUCCGGAUUUAUUGGGUUUAAAGGGAGCGUAGAUGGAUUGUUAAGUCAGUUGUGAAAGUUUGCGGCUCAACCGUAAAAUUGCAGUUGAAACUGGCAGUCUUGAGUACAGUAGAGGUGGGCGGAAUUCGUGGUGUAGCGGUGAAAUGCUUAGAUAUCACGAAGAACUCCGAUUGCGAAGGCAGCUUACUGGACUGCCACUGACACUGAGGCUCGAAAGUGUGGGUAUCAAACAGGAUUAGAUACCCUGGUAGUC
rnacentral:rRNA from 1 species